GGAGGGGUCUCCCGGCUCACAACCCCACCGCCACCGAGAGCCGCGGGAAUAGAAACGCCCGUCUCUGCCUGUUUUGUUGGCCUGGUGGCCCGUGGCGGGCGGGCGGCUCCUCUGAGGUGCCUGUGAGGGAAUGUGUUUGUGGCCGUCACUAUAGGAGUUGAACCUGGGGUUAUACUUGACUCACCGGAAACUGGACAAUGGGUGAAAGACAGGUUUGAAGCCAGGCGCCUCAGCCGGGAAGCCGGGUGGCAGCGUGUUACACCGGAGGGACAGAGCGGGGAGGCGACGGAGUCGGAGCCCGAGUUGGUAGAAUUGGAAGCAGGUCGAUGGGCAUCAAAGGAGAAGAGCGGGAAGGCUGUGCCCUGCCCCUUCCCUCCUGUCUCCGGAGGCACCGGUGUGGUGUUUGGAAGAGAGAAGAGCAGCAGAAGCCACGGCUCUCCGGCGCCCUCGCCUCGCCCCGCUGACGCCCCUCACUCCUGAGUCACCUUCCGGACCUCGCCCCGCUGGGGGCAGCCGGCUGCUGAGAAUGUAGGGAAACCAUCCAUCAUCUUCUCAGUCUGUGUGGCUAAAGACGGGUGAUCCUAUCCUUUGGCUCCAGAAAGAGUCCAUCAAAGUCUCAAAAACUGUUUCAGAGGUGGCCAUGUGGCCGUAUCUGGAACAAUGAGAGCUCUCCAGGACUUUGCUCUCUAGAACUUUGCUCAGAUGACUGGGGAUGAGGGCCCUGGAGCGCCCCCCAUGGGUUACAGUAGCCAUUUACCAUCAUGAGGAGAGCAGUGAAUAUAGCUGUGACCUGGCAGACCCUCUGAAAGGGACUUCAAGACCCAGAGGUCCACAGACCACACUUGGAGGACUGAAGCCCUCUGACACUGACUCGGCUGCACCUGAGAGUAUUUGGUGAUUCCCGAGGAAUGAUCAGCCUCCGAGAUGAUGACGACGGUGAUGCUGCUGCUGUUAAUUGAGUGCUGAAGGUGGGAAAACAGGUUUGCUGUGCCCAAGGCCGUACAGCUCAUACACUGGGAGCUGUGAACUCUGUCUCUCUGGGUCUCCUGAACAACCCGUAGGGGAAUAAAGGCAGCGGGUUGGUCGAGGGAGAAGUCGUGAAUUGUGAUGCAGUCACAACAGGAGUCUCCUUCGAUCCCAUG